rnacentral:rRNA from 1 species
UACAGAGGGUGCGAGCGUUGUCCGGAAUCACUGGGCGUAAAGGGCGCGUAGGCGGUGGCGUAAGCGUGCGGUGAAAGCUCGGGGCUCAACCCCGAGUCGGCCGUGCGAACUGGGCCACUGGAGCAGAUCAGAGGCAGGCGGAAUUCCGGGUGUAGCGGUGGAAUGCGUAGAGAUCCGGAAGAACACCGGUGGCGAAGGCGGCCUGCUGGACCUUAACUGACACUGAGGGACGAAAGCUAGGGGAGCGAAUGGG